rnacentral:rRNA from 1 species
AUGGCCGUCUCGCCUCUUGCACUCCUCUUCCUCCUCCUCGCCUUCACCGUAUCUCUGUUGUACAUCCUUCGUAGGCCCGACCCUCUGCGCAGCGGCAGCGAUGGAGCACGGAGGCAGCCUCCGCCGUCGCCUCGCGGCCUUCCGCUGCUCGGCCACUUGCAUCUCCUCGGCUCGUUGCCGCACCGGGCCCUGCGGUCCCUGGCCGCCGCGCACGGCCCGGUCCUGCUGCUCUGGUUUGGCCGCGUGCCCGUCGUGGUCGUGUCCUCGCCGGCCGCCGCGGAGGAGGUGAUGAGGACCCGCGACCUGGCCUUCGCGAGCCGGCCCCGGAGCGCCAUGGCCGACCGGCUCCUCUACGGGCGCGACGUAGCGUUCGCGCCCUACGCGAGUACUGGCGCCAGGCGCGCCGCGUGUGCGUGGUCCACCUCCUCAGCCCGCUCCGCAUCCUCUCCUUCCGCAGCGUCCGGGAAGAGGAGGCCACCGCGCUGGUCGAGCGCGUUCGCGGAGCGGCGGCGGGCGGCGCCGUCGUGGACCUGUGUGAGCUGCUCAUUGCUUACGCCAACACGGUGGUCUCGCGCGCCGCGUUCGGGGACGACAGCGCGCGCGGCCUGUACGAGGAAGGCAACAAGGGACGCGAGCUGA